rnacentral:ncRNA from 2 species
UACCUUUACUGCAAUUUUGGUGAUGUAAUAGAUUUCAUCCGUUACAUAAAAGGGAAUCCGGUGAGAAUCCGGAAUAGUGCCCGCUACUGUGAAUCCCGUAAUUGAUAAGUUUCUUAUGCCACUGUCCAAUGGAGGAUGGGAAGGUCGCUUUUCAGGGAUAAGUCAGGAAACCUGCCGGAAUUAUACAGAAAAU